rnacentral:rRNA from 1 species
UACAGAGGUGGCAAGCGUUGUUCGGAAUUACUGGGCGUAAAGGGCGAGUAGGUGGCCAUCUAAGUCAGACGUGAAAUCCCCCGGCUUAACCUGGGAACUGCGUCUGAUACUGGGAGGCUUGAGUAUGGGAGAGGGAUGUAGGAUUCCAGGUGUAGCGGUGAAAUGCGUAGAUAUCUGGAGGAAUACCGGUGGCGAAGGCGGCAUCCUGGACCAUAACUGACGCUGAGGCGCGAAAGCUAGGGGAGCAAACGGG